GUGAGUCCAGCGAGAAGAAAAGAAGACCUGGAAUUCAUCAAAAGACGCACACAAGUGCAUCAUUUGUAAGGGAGUGGUGUUCCAUGAUGCAAGGACAUGCUCUAAGAAACAAAUGACACAACAGUAAAGGUUUGUGCUUCUUGCUUUGAAGACUACCUGUUCUUUUUGUCUUGUUAUUACUGCACAAUACUAUAUGUUUUUAGACGAGUCAUAUUUGUUUGGUGUGAACCAAUCAAGCUUAAAUAAGAGUGAACUAAUCGAGCCAUGACCUAGUGGAGUAUCCAAUUUUUUUAUUAAACUCUUUCCAAUAAAAAGUAUUAUAACAGAAGAUGUUAUGUCGACGUACAUAUAUUGUUCCUGCUUCACAAUGUGAACAAUUGAAAUUGUUGCAUGUCCAUUAUUAGGGUAUCUUUUUGGUUUACUGGUCUGAACUUGUAGUGCUGCUGUCAGCAAAUAUGUGCGCAUUCAGUCCAUGUUAGGGCACAAGAUAUAAUUAGCAGGAAAUGUCUGUUGGGGGGAGCAAACGGCUGAUUGUUUUGACCUACGUGGGCUUUAUUUGGGAUAGACUUUCGGUUGCUAACAAGCCAAUGAUCCAUACAACAGUACAACCGGUCAUAAGCUAUUUGAGUUAAGAAAGUCUUAGUGGGAUGAUGAGCUGCAAAAAUUGAUACAAGUGAUUCUUCAUUGUCAAGCUGUGAAUAUAUUUGCCGUACAAUAUUCUUUUCCUUGUCUCUUCACUGGUCUGACAUGUGCCUUUGUGCUGCAGCAUCAAAUUUUUUACUUCUGUCAUCUACGAGUUAGCAAAAGUACUUGAAUUGCAUUCUUAAUUGUUCAAUACAUACGCGAUUAGGAUUAGAGAACAUAAUUUUCCUAUUUCUUUCCUUGUAAUGUAAACUAUUUUUUCCUUGUAUUUCUAGAUGCUCUCUCACAACCGGAAACAUCAGGACUACAGAUGGAUAGAAGAAGCUUUUAUCAAAAUCUUCCCUUUCUGACAAUUGAGAGAAUUUCUCUGCAAGAUAAAUUUAACUCUGUUCUUGAUCAUGCAUCUGUAUGUGUCUGUGCUCAACUGAAUUGGGUUUGCUUGGUGUGAUCUUUCCCAGAACAAGAAGCUUCAUGAGUAAGUAGUAGAACUGGAGGGAAAGGGUAGAGUUUUUCUGUUAUGUACCAUCAAGAUAUUAGUCUUUAAUACUGUCUUGCUGGCUAUGUACUAAAAAUGGUGCUACCAUGCCUCAUCAAGAUAUGUAUGCUUGUGAUAUGCUCAAUCUGGGAUGGUCCAGUCUGAUGUUUUGUUAUGCUUCAAAAGGUGACUGAAUCUGUGCCAUAAGCCGUCGUUGGACAAAAUGAAUGGAGAGGGAGAUAAAAUACAUGAGGGGGUUGCUG
rnacentral:lncRNA from 1 species